UACGGGGGGGCAAGCGUUGUUCGGAAUUACUGGGCGUAAAGGGCUCGUAGGCGGCCAACUAAGUCAGACGUGAAAUCCCUCGGCUUAACCGGGAACUGCGUCUGAUACUGGAUGGCUUGAGUUCGGGAGAGGGAUGCGGAAUUCCAGGUGUAGCGGUGAAAUGCGUAGAUAUCUGGAGGAACACCGGUGGCGAAGGCGGCAUCCUGGACCGAUACUGACGCUGAGGAGCGAAGCCAGGGGGAGCAAACGGG
rnacentral:rRNA from 1 species